rnacentral:tRNA from 1 species
GCCCGGGUGGCUAAGUCGGUGGAGUGUGUGAGACGCUCAAUCUCAGGGUUGUGAGUUCGAGUCCCACACUGGGUA